AAGUGAAGAUUGACAUCCAUUAAGGCCAAUGGUAGCUCAAUCUUCUGUUCUCUGACUCCCAAGCUUCCCAUUCUCUUAGGAGGCUGCAUUUGUGGCGCUAAAAAAAGGGAUGGGCGUGGGAGAUUCCAGGACUUGUGCUCGCUGAAGAUACAACUGUUAGUCCAAGGGGUGACCCUGGAGAUCAUUACCAAAAUUUAAAAAUUUCACCACUGGGCACACAUGUUACCCUUCUCGUGAUGGCAUGGCAAAGCUUGAUUUGCAAGAGUUUCUUUUGGAUUGUCCCCAAUGAUUCCCUUUAAAAAUAGGAGCUCCUUCAAGCUCCUGUAUCAGCAGUGCUUGCACCUCAUAGGUGAUGAUCAUGAGGGGGACAAGGAGCCUCUAGACUUAAGAGACAAGUUGCCAGCAUUCUCCAGAUGGAGUGUUUCCCUCCGCAGCACCCCCUGCUGGUCAGUUUGACAAGCAGGUGAACAGAAGUUCUCAAAUACACAAUAGUAGAUUCUAUCAAUCAAGUUUCAUAAAGAGUUCUGAUUCCCAGAGAUAGCAGAUUCUGUCAACCACAUUUCAUAAAGAGUUCUGAUUCUAAGAGAGCCAUACACCUGAAGGAGGGAUGGAAAGACUAGGAGAGCCUGGGAUCCUCAGAGAUGGAGAUCUGGAUGUGAAGAGAAAGAGAAAAACAAAAGUCAACAGACAGUACUGUGACCAAGUCAGUGAUGGUGAGAUCAGCAGCAUCUCUAGGACCCUUCUGAUUGACAUGAAGUCACCAUCAAGUAGGCAGAACUCACAGGACUUAUGGAGCAAGGAUGACUGACACAAACACAAAAAUCAUUCUGCCUGUUGAAUGAAUCAUAAAAUACUGUCUUUGAUCCAGGAGGCUUGUGUCAUCUGCCAGCAUUUAUGAAACUGUGCUCCAAGUAGGGUAAGCUUUUAGAUACUUCAGAGUUCCUGGCAGUCUUUUCUGGAUGGAGAAUGUCUUUAGUCUUUUCUCAAUGGAAAAACAGAAUGCUCCUUUUAAAACAAAAGCCAGAUUUUGUUAUUCCUUUGUGCAACCCCUGCUACUGCAGGGGUAACACCCAGUCUCAUUCAGAGAGACACAAAUUCCUUGUAACAGCCCCUCUAAGUUCUCCAUGACUUAGACCCCAGUCACCUCCCUGACAUCCCUGAGUGGGAGGCACCUGGCGGUUUCGCGCUUUCCCCGCGUUUUGUUUGCGUCAGAGCAGCGCGCUGGCGGGAGCUGCAGGGCAAAUAUCCCGCCCCGGUGCUUUGGUGUGUGGCACUUGCUGCCAUUCUGCCGCUGUGGGGUGAGCGGCGGUGGCGGGACUAGCACCCAGGCGGGAUCCGUUGGCAGCAGCAGAGAGAGCUCAAUCCUGAUGAUGCAGAAGCCCAGACUCCAGCCUACUGCAAGUUCCAGAGCAGGCUGUACCCACGCCUGCGUGAGGGCUAGAGGGACUUGGCCUGCUCCGCAAAUGAUCCAACUUCCCGGACGGGCUGGUGAACACAGACAAUGCCAGCCUGGAUAAGGAAGCGGCCAGCACUGCUUAGGCAUUGUUCUCAGGACGCGCAUUACUGAGUGUGGAACUUUACCCUCCUGAUGAAGACGCCAGAGUUGGGUAUCCCCAAAGUGAUGAUCAAAGAAGUGCUUUGCAUGGGGCUUGAGAAAACAUCUUACUGUUUAAGAACAGAACGUCUUACUAUCUAAGAACCUGAAUAGAAGGAGAUGCUUUCAGUAUUGGGUGUUUGAAAAGUUGGUCAAAGAAGGGGAGACGAUGGUUGAUUAAGGGGGGGAUGGUGACAAUUAUUUUGUAACUCAUAGAAGGACAGAUGUUGAUGUAAAAGUUGAUGGUUUUGGUGGAAUAAUCAAGAGCAUGUUUCUGAAAUUAAUGUAAAAUAUAGAGAGACCCCUGAAAUCACUGCUUAAAUUACACGGGUGUUGUGGUGCUUGGAAAGAGAAAACUUUGGAAGUAUAAUUGUAAAAAUAAUAUUAUACAGAAAAACAGAAGAGAAAACUUAAGGACAGCUUUCUCAAAUCGCUGUUAUUCUUGAAUCAUCUGAAAGCAGUAUAAGUGACUGGCACCAAUAUACAUCGGAGAGUAAAUCAUUGCACAAGGAAACUUGAUUUUCUUUUCAUUAUAGAAUCUGGAGAAAAAAAGCUAUGAAGAGCAAGAGGUGGUAGAGAAUGGUGUUGUUGAAAUUGCCUGACAUCACUGGAGAUAAUUUGCCCUGGAAAGAAGCACUCCUUAGGGAGGAGCAUCUGCACAUUCCAUUAGCAUAAAGCACCUGGUCAGCCAUAUGAAGAAGUCUGGAUUUUGUUUUAAAUGUGAAAUUUAUUUUAAAUGGAGGAUUUGAAACAAGGGAGUAAUAUAACCUGACAUAUUUUAAAAAAUCACUCUGGCAGCUGCGUGGGGGACAAACUCUGGGAGGACAAGAGGAGAUGUGGAAGGGAGAAGGCGGCUAAGAGUCUGUCCCAGGAUUGCAAAGAUUUCGGAGCCCGGCCUCAGGUGGUAAUGGUGGAGGUGUUAGAAAUGGCUGGAUUCCACAUAUAUUUUGAAAGGCCAGCACAUGGAAUUUGCUUAUGGAUGUUCCAUAAAUAAGAGAAAAAGAGGGCUCAGUGAUGAUUCCUGGGCUUUUGACUUAAGCAACUAGAAGGAUAAAGUCUCCAUUAACUGAUAUGGGGAAGACUGAGGAAGGAGACGCUGUGUAUGCCAGGAUUGGGCUGUGUGUGUGUGUGUAUGUGUGUGUGUAUCAGUAAUUCUACUUUUGACCUGUUGACUUUGAGAUGCUAAUCCAUGCCAGUUAAAAAAUAAGGAGGGAAGUGGACAUUCAACACGUGAGGGUGAAUGCCCACGGAGCCUUAAGAAGGGGCCAGAGGGUGAAUCUGGGAGAGAAGAACAUAGAUAAAAAUAAAAGACACAUGGAGGGAGAAAGAGAGGGAAGCUAGGACUUAUGAUGGUAACAAUGUUGUUCAUUAACUGAGAAGUCUUUUUUUUUUUUUUUUUUGAGACAGGGUCUUGCUCUAUUGCCCAGGCUGGAGUGCAGUGGCAUGAUCUCAGUUCACUGCAACCUCCACCUCCUGGGUUCAAGCGAUUCUCAUGCCUCAGCCUCCUGAGCAGCUGGUAUUACAGGUGCUUGCCACCAUGCCUGGCUAAUUUUUGUGUUUUUGGUAGGGAUGGGAUUUCACCAUGUUGGCCAGGCUAGGGUCAAACUCCUGACUUCAGGUGCUCUGCCCGCCUCAGCCUCCCAAAGUGCUGGGAUUACAGAUGUGAGCCACCAUGCCAGGCCUGAGAAAUUGCCAAGACCAGCUCAGUCGUGGAUACCCUAACCCAGUCGCACUAGAGGAAUUAAAGACACACACACAGAAAUACAGUGUGUGGAGUGGGAAUCAGGGGUCUCACAGCCUUCAGAGCUGAGAGCCUCAAACAGAGACUUACCCAUAUAUUUAUUGACAGCAAGCCAGUGAUAAACAUUGUUUCUAUAGAUUAUAGAUUAUAGAUUAACUAAAAGUAUUCCUUGCAGAAAACAAAGGAAUGUGCCAAAACAGAGGGAUGGGCUCUGGCUAGUUAUCUGCAGUAGGAACAUUUCCUUAAGGCACAGAUGGCUUAUGCUAUUGCUUGUGGCUUAGGAACGCCUUUAAGCAGUUUUCCUCCCUGGGUGGGCCAGGUGUUCCUUGCCCUCAUUCCAGUAAACCCACAACCCUCAGCGUGGACUUCAUGGCCAUCACGAACAUGUCACGGUGCUGCAGAGAUUUUGUUUAUGGCCAGUUUUGGGGCCAGAUUAUGGCCAGAUUUGGGGGCCUGUCCCUAAAAAGAAAUGUAAUUAAAGUACAGAGAAAAUUAAAAGGGAGAAGAAAGUUCGUGGAGAGAUAUCAGAGCAAAUGAUAACUACAAAAGUCUGCCUUGUUUCCCAGACCCCUUGUCUCUUAGGUGCCCUAUAUUUUACCUCCCAGUGAACCAGUCUUGCCCCUUUGUAAUGGCACUCCAAGCAGCACUGCCACACACCCAAUUCCAGAACUUCCCUGCUCCUUGAGCCUAGGAAUAGUCAUGCUUCUAAUUCCUCUUUACUUGCUCAUCACUGGAGUAGCAACUGAACCACACGAUUAGAAUAAGUAACAUGAUGUCAUUUUUGGUAGCAAUCUUCCAUUUCUUCCUUAUGUAUAAAAUUGAACCUCACAGAGAAACUAACUGCCUAGAGCUAUGGGUCCAGAGUAGAGCUCUAGCUUUGCGUUUCUCUUUGCAGCUGUGCUCUGAGAGAUUUGAUGCAAUCCCACUGCAAUUUGACAUCAGCGACAGCGUAGGGGUGCUCAGGGAAUCUUUUGAGCCACCAACGAAGCCUCACUUCCAGCUAAUACUUAUAUGGGGCUGUGGAAGUUGUCUCACAUUCCUGGGGACAGUGUUUGCCCUGAAAAGGAACGUUCACUUGCCACAAAGCAUCUUGUUGGCUGGAUUUGAUUAUAAUGUGACAAGAAUUCUUUUGGCCACAUAACUGGUGGUUGGGUCAUUUUGUGUUUUUCAAACCAAUAAGAAGAAAAGGCCUCUUACAUGGUCAGGAGAGGUGGGAAUGGAUGAAGCACUAAGGUCAGGUCUGGUGAAGUUAGGGAAUAAGGCCAGCAUUUAUGGAAAGUGAUUUCCCCAUGAACUCCUAAAAGAUGCUCCUGAACCCUAACAGUAGGCUGAUGUCUGUAUUUAGAGUUGCAAACAACAUGUUCUGGGAAUACAGAGGAAGGCACCACUGCCUCUAACUUGCGAGUAUAUCACAGAGAAAGAUUUAUAUUUGGGCUUGAUGGAUGAGAGAUGAGUAGGAGUUUGAUAGAAGAGAAGAAGGGAACCAUCUGGAUGUACAAUGGAAGAAGUGGCAGGAAGGGCUAAGGAGAAUUGGCUUCUGGGGAUGGGUUAGAGAUAAGGGCCUGGGCACCACAUUAUGGAGCUUGCAAUGGGGUAUGUAAAAGCUUAUAUGGGAUGCUCGUUUUCUCUCCUCCCAUGGGUUCAUAGAGGGCUCACCUCACUCACUCUUGCUAACAAGCUGCCCUCAUUUUAGAGAGAGCUGGAGUGGGGUCUCUAACCCUCCAGCAACAGCUUAGGAGCCAGACUUGAAGCCCUGACAGCCAACACUUUCCAUAUAGACCCUGUUGUCCAUCCUAUCUUAGGAAGACAAUGCACUCAAGAGGAAGGUAACAUCUACCUUCGGACUCCAGAGGCUCCAAGGAGCCUCUCUCUCUCUUCAAGACAGGCUUCACCUCCACCUUCAUACAGUGGUACUGGGAGAUGAACAGGGGUAGGGCGAUCAAGAUUUAGUUCAACCUGUAGUUCCAGUCGGGUGGUGCUUGGUAGUUGACUCAUUUUGGUCCCAUUUGAUAUUUGCAGCCACCUGCUGGGAUAGGUGUAACUGUUGCUCCUAUUUCACAGAUUAGGACAGGAUAGUUUGCUAGAGGUCAGAGGACGAGUUGCGGGAGGGAAUGGUUGUCAGUUAGGUUUUUAACCUUAGAGCCUCAUGUUUUCUUAGGAUCUUGCAGGGAGACCUUGGGCAAAUUCCUUUUCCUCUUGGGGGGUCUUCAUUACCUUUUUGUAAGUUAAAGAGUUCUGCCAGUUUGUGAUUCUCUGUACUUUAAUGUUCAAACUUAUCACUUGGAUAGGUUUUUUAAAAUGGGGAUUCUGGGUACCCCCAAUAUAUUUAAUUUCUCUGGGGUGAGGCCGAGAUUCAUCUUCGCUGAGCUACAUCUGUAGAGAUUCUGUUUUGAUACCAUUGGUUGGACUGUGGCUCGGUAAUUUGCAUUUCUCCAAAGUGAGUCCAGUCAGCUGGUCAACCGCCCCGCCUGUCUCUCUGUGACCCCUUCCGGGCGUCCGCUCUGCUUCUGUACUUGCAUCCUGUGGGAAUGAGAUUGGCGCAAGCAGCCCUCUUUUAGUACCGCCGGGGGCACGCUAGCCAAGCCUUUAAAAACCACGCCGAGCCCUCGGUUUGCAGGUAUUCAGGGCAAGCUAAGGCGCGUUUCCGCGUUUGGUAUGUUCCCGAGUGCGGCCAGCAGAUGACGAGAGAGAACUAGCCAGCAGAAUAGGAAGGGGCAAGGAGGCCAGGAAGAAAAGUGGCGGGUGAAGAUUGACAUUCACUAAAACCAAUGGUAGCUUCCGUUCUCCGACUCCCAAGCUUACCUUAAUGGUUGACAUCCAUUAAGGCCAAUGGUAGCUUCCGUUCUGUGACUCCCAAACUUCCCAUUCUCUUAAGAGGCUGCGUUUGUGGCGCUAAAUGGAAGGAUGGGCGUGGGGACAUGUGCUGGGACAUGUGCUCGCUGAAGAUACACCUGUUAGUCCAAGGUUGCUGCUGCUCCUAGUGGCUCAACCCUCUUUGACAAUUAACCUUCCUCUCAGUUUAUUAAGGCUGCCUCAGCUGUGUCUAGGCAAACCUACCCCCCAUCACGCUGGGUUUUUGGAGUUUUUUAAAGCGUCGCGGGGUAAAGCCAGCAUUACACUUUUCGUUUUCUUAGCAGAUAACUAUUUCUGGUGCUAACAGCGGGGAGCUGCCGGGCGGGAGUAGGGGUGAAGAGAGAAUAGGGUGAGAGAUAACAGGUGUGAAGCGUCCCUUAAUGCCAGGCAUCCUGCUUUGGCACUUUUUAUAGGUUUGUCUCAAUUAUCUUUUUAUUUAAUUCAUUUUCUGUUUCACAGAUUAUGAAACUUCAAGUAAAUUGCCCAAGGACAGCCCUUGAAUAAUUUUAACUUCUGUCAAACGGCAAAGCCUAAGGUCUUUUAUCUUGCAGAGGCUGCUUUGUCAGGAUUUCAAUGCAUGCAGGUCCUGCGAAUCGCUGUUCCUCACUCACUGAUCCAUCUCGCUGUCCACGCAUUCAUUCACCCAUUCAUUUCUUAGGAGCUCAUCUGCAAGGUGUGGGGCUAGUUGCUACUAAAAAUAAAAAAGAAAAGGGACUCUGCUAUAAAGUAGAAGAGAUUUUUUUUUGAAAGAUUUACACAGAAUUCCGGUGCUCAGCAUGGUUUCGAUCUUUCCCCCCAACAUACUACUGAUACUUAUUAUGUUCCACAUAAUAUGAUGGAUUCUGAAGAUACAGAGAUGGGUGAGAUGUAUCCUUGCCUAUCAGGAGCUCCUUGCCAUAGGCAAGAGUAAUCUAUGAGCUUUAAUUUUACAUACCUAAUUUUUAACGAUUUGAGCAUCAACUAUAUAUAUAUAUAUAGUUUUGAAAUUAACAUAUUAAAUAAAUAUCAGGCACAUUUAAUUUCUUAUUUUUUAGAUGAAGGUGAAUCUAACUGGUGGUUCAAGUAUGUUCUUUGUUCACCCUAGUGGACCAUCUUGGGUGCUUCCUGGAGUGCUUCCUCAGACUGCAACCCUACCCCCCUGGUAUGUGCUUGGCUCUCUUCAUUCUGCAGCACUCUGUCAAAUGCCAGGCUUUUAGGGAGGCCUGUUCUGACCCCUUCCUGUUUCCUCUCCCUUUUAUCUUCUCCUAUCUGGAGGCUCUUUUCCUAUUUAUUUGUUGUUCUUUCUCCCUCCAUCAUCUUCUCUUCCUGAAUCCUGUGUUGUUUUUUCAUAUACUACAUCUCAGUAUGUAGGAAAUAUGUUUACUGGGUUUUUUUUUUCAAAUUUUUUUUCAGUUUCUCUCUCCCUGCUCCAGAAUGUAAGCUUCAAGAGGGGCAGUGAAGAGUUCUUAACACCCCUCACUGACUGAGAAACAGUUGGGGAUCGAGGGAGACAGCUUUGCCUGGUACAUCCUGAAAUCCCCUGAGGUGGGGGAGGAAGUUGAGGGAUCAGGAAACGUCCAUUCAUUUUAUGAACUUGAAGUUGGGUUAAACACUAUUGUCUUCUGUGACAUUUGUUGUUAAUCUCAACCUGAAACCCUCAUCGCUAGUCAUCCACUUCUUACUAGCUUUGUGACCUUGAAUGAAGGUUCAAGUUUCCCUUCUUUCUUUGCACCUCAGUUUCCUUAUGUAUUAAGAGAAAAAAAUUAAAUUUGUUAAGCCUAAAAUGUGGGGUCAUAGGGCAUCAAUCCCCUGAGGGUAAAAGAAAAAUAUUUGUGGAUAUAUAAGACUUCAGAAGUUAUAUUCUUGUGAGGAUCAAAGAAAGGUAUUUGUGAAUUUGAGAGUCUUCAGCUAUCAUAUAAGUAGCAUAAUUACACACAGAAAAUAUUGGAGAAAGAAUUUUAACAAAUCAAAUGGGAACAGAGAUCUCAAAUAGGAGCAGAUAAAAAGGAGAAGAAACAGUGGUGAGCCAAAAAAAAUCUGACAAAUUUUAUGUAGACAGUUAACUCUGAAUGGACAAUGAUAGACUCUACAGGAAUGUGUAUAAAAGUUUUAAAGAAGAAUUCUUUAAAUAGAAGCGACACACCACAAGGAAAAUUCUAUGACACCUGGAAAUAAAACAUCCAGGGAUUGGGCUCAGGGGGAUGAGGGGUAAAGAAAUAAAAGCAUUUUGUAUCACUUAGCACACUCAUCUGGAUGGGAGGAGGGAGCAAAACAGGGAAAUGAAUCUAUUGGAAGAUGUCAUCUCAUUGAGGUAUGGGAGAAAAAGUGGAAUAGCUGGCACUUUAUUUUAUAUAAUAGUAAAGAAAUUUGUGCUCAAUUAUGAGCAAUAGAAGCAUAUACUAGUGGUUGAAUAAAAAGUUAAUAAGGGAAUAUGAUGGAUAAGUCAGUUAAUAAGAGAACUUGGUGGAUAAGUGAAUUAAUAAGAGUCCACAGUGGAGGCAAUUUCCCUGUUUAUAAAAUGUUAUCUUUUGAAUAUACACAGGAUAUACUUUUCGAAAUAAAAAAAUAUAUAUAGGGGAAACAAUUUUCACUCAUCCUCUAGACACCCAGUACUUUUCCAGAGAUAAUCCGUUGCUAUACAAGCAUAAUUCCUUUUCAAUAUAUUUUUCUAGCAACUAAGAAAUUCAGGAUUUGUAAUUCUAAUAAAAAGAGUGCUGAUCUGGGCUGAAAUGAAAAGUUUUACCUUAGAUAUAUGUCUCAUAAAUAGUUUUUAUAAAGUCAGGGAAUAUCCUUAAAAAGCAAUUACCAAGGCUGUACAACACAUGAGUUUGAAGGCACAGGGAGAUUAAGAUUUAGAAUAAAUUUAAGUGAGAUCUAGGGCCAAAGAAUAGCAGGGUGGUGUUUGUGUGUGUGUGUGUGUGUGUGUGUUGGUUGGGGCAGGUGGGAGGCUUUGGAGUUUGCCUGUAGACUGCUAUCAUCUCUAGGCCUUGGUAAGUCCUUGCAAAGACACACAGUUCUGAAAGGUUGGCACCGGUGUAGGUUUUUAAAUAUUUUUGUUAUCCACAGGGUGACCCUGGACACCGUUACAAAAAUUUAAAAAUUUCACCCCUAGGCACACAGAUUACCCUUCUCGUGGUGGCAUGGCAAGGCUUGAUUUGCAAGAGUUUCUUUUGGACUGUCGUUAAUUUUUCCCUUUAAAAACAGGAGCUCCUUCAUGGUGACAAAGGAAGGAGGAAAUCAUCCCUUCUAACCUACUUUGUCGUCUUCAUUCCAAGAACUCUAGAAUGGCACAGCACGUUUGGUUUUGAAACCUGUGGAAUUUUAGUGCUGUCCAUUCUCCCAAGUGUAUGCCUUUAGUGAAGGUAAAAGGAAAGACUGUUUUCUGUGUCAAGGGAAGAUUCAUAUGCAAAUCCCAAGACUCAGAUGUUAUUUCAGAAGAGUUGGUGUCCAUAGUAAAGUAGAACUGGCCCAGGCUUAUCUGCCUGAAAGGGCAACUGUUUGAGGUAGAGGGAACUGGCAGAAUAGGAGGGGUGGAAUCUUCCUGGGAGAAAGUAAAAAGAAUUCUAGGUGGAGAGGAGAUCAAGAUGUGAACCAAACACAUGUCUUCUAAAUUACUAUAGGAAAUGUUGGAAAGGACUUUAGAACAAACAAUAAAUAUGUCAUAGGAGGAAAACAAAGAGAAGUCUUUGGGCCAGAAAUAGAAACUGUUAAAAACAAAACAACAACAACAAAACAUAAAAAUAAAAAAAAAAACCUUUAAGUUUGAAAAUGACAGAAGUUAAGAAGUGGAAAGUUGCAUGGGAUAUGCUUUCAUUGCGGCCUCUCUGAUAAACCAUUCCCCAGUCCAUCUUUGUAUCCUUGCUUGUCCUAAGCAGCAUGGUAGCAGCCGUGGCAUUCAUCAGGCUAAAGUGGUCAUUUUUGGCACUUGGGCUAGAGAUGGCAGUGAAGCAGAAUCAUUUGGGUAAAUGCCAGAGGCUUUUUGUCUCACAAUAAGGAAAUUGAAGAUGUAGACACAGAAGGAGUGGAUUUAAGAGUGGAAGGUUAAUAGGCAAAAGAAAGAAGAGAGAGUUCCCUGUGCAUUGGAAGGGUGCCUGAGCGGGUUUCUGGGUUUGGGGCAAGUUGCGGCUGGUUUUAUAGAUGAGCUUGAGGAGCCAGUGUCUGAUUUACACAGGGCUCAGAGGGUUGGUUGGACCAGGUGUGAAUGCACGAAGAGGCUGGCCAUCCCAUCCUAAUCUUUUAUUAUGCAGAUGGGGUCUCUAUCUGGCCAGCGCCAUGUUGCCUGAACACUUGAAGACAAAGAAAAGGGAAGAAGAGGCAGGGCGCCGUAGCUCACGCCUGUAAUCACCGCACUUUCUGAGGGCGAGGAGGGUGGAUCACGAGGUCAGGAGUUCAAGACCAGCUUGGCCAAGAUGGUGAAACCUCGUCUCCACUAAAAAAAAUACAAAAAAAAAAAAAUUUAGCCGGGCCUGUUGGUGGGCUCCUGAAAUCCCAGCCACUCAGGAGGCUGAGGUAGAGAGCUGCUUGAACCCGGGAGGCAGAGGGUGCAGUGAGCCGACAUCGCCCCACUCCACUCCAGCAUGGGCAACAGAGCGAGACUCCGUCAAAAAAAAAAAAAAAAAAAAAAAGAAGAGGACACCUCCAUGUUGAACAUGCGAGUAUGCCUGGCUUCCAAGUAUCCCUUUUCUAUUGGCAUAGGUGCCGGCAUUCCCCUUUGCAAGUUUUAGCUUGCUUAUCUAUGCUUGCAGCUGAUUUUUCAGGCUGAUUGUUGUUAGAAAACAAAAUUAGAUGGGGGCUGCUUUUUUAUUAAAAGGAAAACCUUACCAACGACUCCCUUACCCACACUAACUGCCUAAAUAAUUGAUUUUUUUAGCUCCUGUAUCAGCAGUGCUUGCCCCUGAUAGAUGAUGAUCAUGGGGGGACCAGGAGCCUCUAGACUUAGAGAACUUUCCCCACCCUCCCUGUGGAGUGUUUCCCUCCCCAGCACCCCCUGCUGGUCAGUUUGACAAACAGAUGAACAGAAGUUCUCAAAUACACAGUAAGCAGAUAACCCCAACAUCACCAGAAAUAUCAACUUGUGAUGGCAUUUUGUCAAGUUGUCUUUGUUAUCGGCAUCAUCUGUUGCUUUCUGAGGGAAGUAUUUUGAGUUCUCCUACUGAGACUGUGGAUUUGCCUAUUUCUUUUUGUAUGUCAGCUUUUGCCAUAUGUAUUUUGUAGUUGUGUUGUGAGGAAGAUUCAUGACUUAUCUUGUGGGAGAAUUCUGUAUUUAGCAGAUUUUCGUCUUAAGUUCUGUUUUGCUUAGUAUUGAUGUUAUUACUUUGCUUUUUCAGUUUCAAAAUCAUUUAGUAUAUCUUUUUCCUUUCUUUUAGCCUUUGUGUUUUUAUUUCAGAUGUGCUUUCUUAUGUACUGACUGUGAUCCCCAAAUUCAUAUGUUGAAGUCCCAACUCCAAAUGUAUUUGGAGGUGGGCCUUUCAGACGUAAUUGAGUUUAGAUGACGUCAUGAGGGUGGAGCCCCCAUGAUGACACUAAGUCCUUCUAAGAAAAGGAAGAGAGUCUGAGCCCUCCUCUACACCAUGUGAGGGCACAGAGAGAGAGCAGCCAUCAACAAGCUGAGAGAGGAGGACUGAGAAUGAAACCUACCUCGCCAGAACCUUGUCAUAUCCCUUCCCGGUUUCCAAACGAGUGAGAAAUCAAUUUCUGUUGUGUAAGCUACUCAGUGUAUGAAACUUUGUUAUGGCAGCCAGAGCAGAUUAAUGCAUGCUUCUUGGACUUUGUUUUUAACUCAAUAUGAAAAACAUAUGUUUUAAUAAAAAAAUUACCCCAUUCAUCUGUAUUGUGUUUACUGAUAAUUUUGGACUUAUUUUUGCCAUAUUUAAGAAAUCCUCCUUCCUCUUUCCCAUGCUUUCUUGUGUUUUUUUA
rnacentral:lncRNA from 1 species